CUAUGGUGGGAAGUAGAUAACAAUGUAUCAGACCCCUUGACUUUUUCCACAUUUGUGAAGUUACAGCUAUUCUAAAAUGGAUUAAAUAAAUAAAUAAAAGGAGAUUUGUUGGCAGUGAGCACAGCAGCAGGACGGUGUGGAAGAGGAAGGCAGCAGGACGGUGUGGAGAGAGGCAGCAUGACGGUGUGGAGAGGAAGGCAGCAUGACGGUGUGGAGAGGAAGCAGAUGACGGUGUGAGAGGAAGGCAGCAUGGAGAGGAAGGCAAAGGACGGUUGGUGGAGAGGAAGGCAGCAGGACGUGUGGAGAGGAAGGCAGCAUGACGGUGUGGAGAGGAAGGCAGCAGGACGGUGUGGAGAGGAAGGCAGCAGGACGGUGUGGAGAGGAAGCAGCAAGGACGGUGUGGAGAGAAAGGCAGCAGGACGGUGUGUGGAGAGGAAAGGAAGCAUGGAGAGGAAGGCAGCAUGACGGUGUGGAGAGGAAGGCAGCAUGGAGAGGAAGGCAGCAGGACGGUGUGGAGAAGAGGCAGCAUGAGAGGAAGGCAGCAGGACAGUGUGGAGAGGAAGGCAGCAGGACGGCGUGGAAGCAAGGCAGCAGGACGGGUGGAGAGCAAGGCAGCAGGACGGCGUGGAGAGCAAGGCAGCAGACGGCGUGGAGAGGAAGGCACUGCAGAGGAAGGCAGCAUGGGAGGAAGGCAGCAAAGGCGUGGAGAGGAAGGCAGCAGGAGAGAGGCAGCAUGACGGCGUGGAGAGGAAGGCAGCAUGGAGGAAGGCGCAGCAUGACGGUGUGGAGAGGAAGGCAUCUGUGGAAUGUGUCUCCAUUACCUUUCUGCAGUGAUAACACGGAGUUCCGUUGGCAGUUUAGGAGUGUAGCGCCGGAGUGCUGUCAGACACAAUAGACGACUCUAAUGUACUGUAAUGUAGCACACCCUAAGAGUUUAUACUAUAGUACUUGAAUCAGCACCCUAAGAGGUUAUACUAUAGUACUGUAAUGCAGCACCCUAAGAGUUUAUACUUAGUACUGUAAUGCAGCACCCUAAGAGGUUAUACUAUAGUACUGUCAUGCAG
rnacentral:lncRNA from 1 species